UACGGAGGGGGCUAGCGUUGUUCGGAAUUACUGGGCGUAAAGCGCACGUAGGCGGCUUGGUAAGUUAGAGGUGAAAGCCUGGAGCUCAACUCCAGAACUGCCUUUGAUACUGAGUAGCUUGAGUCCGGGAGAGGUGAGUGGAACUGCGAGUGUAGAGGUGAAAUUCGUAGAUAUUCGCAAGAACACCAGUGGCGAAGGCGGCUCACUGGCCCGGUACUGACGCUGAGGUGCGAAAGCGUGGGGAGCAAACAGG
rnacentral:rRNA from 1 species